rnacentral:rRNA from 1 species
GAUGAACGCUAGCGGCAGGCUUAAUACAUGCAAGUCGAGGGGCAGCGGGAGUAGCAAUACUUGCCGGCGACCGGCGCACGGGUGCGUAACGCGUAUGCAAUCUACCUUUAACAGAGGGAUAGCCCCGAGAAAUCGGGAUUAAUACCUCAUAAAAUUAUUAGUUGGCAUCAAUUGAUAAUCAAAGCUGAGGCGGUUAAAGAUGAGCAUGCGUGACAUUAGCUAGUUGGUGAGGUAACGGCUCACCAAGGCGACGAUGUCUAGGGGUUCUGAGAGGAUGAUCCCCCACACUGGUACUGAGACACGGACCAGACUCCUACGGGAGGCAG